rnacentral:lncRNA from 1 species
GAGUCUUUCUCGUUUUCUAGCAAGUUUUUGAUUUUGCAUAGCUCAAUUAACUUUGACAGCAUAUGAUUUGAUAGGGAGCUUUCACAGUUUAAUGAAUACUUUGUUAAAACACAGCUAAGGAUAGGUAAAAAUGGAUAAACGUUUAAUGGACUAAAAAAAAUUGCAUCCAGUGCGUGAGCAAAGGAACGAGUAAGGUCAUUGUUAUUUCUUGGAAGAUGGAAGUCAUUGUUAUUUCUUGGAAGAUGGAAUGACAUUCUGCUUGGCUAUUCAUUCUUUUAUCCAUAUCUAGAGAUUGUAUAUGCGGUCCCACUAUUUUUACAAUCGAUGAAAGUAUGCUUUCUUGAUUUUGAUGCAUUCUUGUUUUACUUAAACCAUUAGUACUUGCAUUACCACCUGAUAGGAUUCAAGCCAUACCAUACAGUGCUGCAG